rnacentral:lncRNA from 1 species
CAGUCAGGAUCAAUCAUUUUGUGCAACACAGACACAUCAAACACUUGGUACUGCUCUUCCUACUUCAGGCUUAGGCAAACCGUCAGGGUGUACACCUGUUCCACAAGAAAAUAACUGCCAUAUCAGAAAUUUACAAGACGCCUUUGCUAAUGCAUCAUUUUCUCCUACAGACAAAGGUAACAGACAUCUCUUAAGCUAUUGUCUUACUUACUUUUCAGAGUUUUAUCCAUCUAACUCCUAAAUAUAUUACUUAAUUAUAUCUGUUUUUUUAUUUAAUAGGAAAAGGAAAAGAACCAGUACUACCAACCUUUACAGAUUGUAGCACUGAUGAUGAAAGUAUAGAGGAUAUUAAUUAUAUUGGAAUGAAUGACAGUGAAUCUGAUGGUACACAAAACUACUCUGUUAGAAGCACAGAAGAUGAAUUAGAAGAAGGUUACUCGGCUCCUGUUCAGGAACCUUCUAUUGAACAGAUAUUUAAUUCUCCACAAGAAGUUAUUGAUUUGAGUUGUUCAGCUGAUGAAUCAACUGUUGAAUUCACUACUCCCACCGUAAGUGUUACUAGGAAAAGUGGAGAAAGGAAAGCAGUUACUCAAACUAUAAAUCUGCCUAAGAAAAGAGGUCGGCCAAGAAUGGCUUUCCCCACAAAGAGGGCAGCAGCAAAAGCAAAGAAAACAGGUUAGAACUUAUUUCAUACCUUUUUAUUGAACUUUAUUUGCUCUACAUAUAGCAUACUUUGUUGUGUAAAUAUUAGUAACACUCUGUUUUUCCUUUAGGAUAUCUAGAUCAUGGUAAUCCUACAUACAAGUGCAAGUAUUGUGGUGCUUUGAUGUGGUUUGAUGAGCGCAUAAACAAAAGAAACAUUCGUACCGAUCCCAUAUUUACACUCUGUUGUGGUCAAGGCAUAGUGAAAUUGCCAUUUCUCAAGGAAUCACCAGAGCUUAUAAAGAAGCUUCUUAAAGGAAAAGAUGCAAUCAGCAGAAAUUUCAGAGAGAAUUUACGGAUUUAUAAUAUGCUCUUUGCAAUGACCUCCCUUGGUGGGAAGGUAGAUAAAUCUAUGCCUAAAGGUAAAGGACCUGCAAUGUUUCGAUUGCAAGGAGGAAACUAUCAUCAAAUUGGUGGAUUAAAACCUGCUGCUGGUGAUUAUGCUAAGUAUUCACAACUUUAUAUAGUUGAUACUGAAACUGAAGUUGAUGAGAGAGCUACUGUGAUUGGGCAAGAGUUAUAAUAGUAUUUGAAAAUCCAAAAUAUUGAUAUAUUACCUUUGCUACUAUAUUCAGAUGUACCUUAACUAACUCUGUGUUUUCUUAUUAUCAUUGCAGCAAGGGUAAAAACCAAAGCUCUACCUCUUGGAAAAAAAAAGUGAACAAGGAACUUAUUGAAGCAAUAAUAAAAAUGCUUAAUGAUUCAAACCCUUAUGUCAAAAAAUUCAGGUCUGCCAGAGAGAGGUUUCAAUCUAAUGAUGAUUCACCAUUUCAGAUGCGUAUUGUUGCUGAUCGUCAGGGUGUUGAUGGGAGGCAAUACAAUAUGCCUACAGCAUGAGAGGUUGCAGCUUUGAUCCCUAGUGAUUUCAUUCCUGACAUGCCAGUUCGUGACAUAAUACUUGAAAAAUCCUCAAAUGGUCGCCUAAAGAGGAUAAGCCAGAUUCAUAUUUCAUAUUUGGCUCUACAAUACCCUCUAAUCUUUUGUUAUGGUGAAGAUGGUUACAGGCCUGGUAUUGAGAAGUGUUACAAAUCAAGCACCAAGAAGAAGAAAAAGUGUAUAAGUAUGAGGCAGUGGUUUGCUUUCUGCAUUCAAGAGAGGGAAAAUGAGUGUCAUACUCUGCUUGAAACAAAGAGGUUGUUCCAACAGUUUUUGUGUGAUGCAUAUACAACUAUUGAAUCAAACCGCCUAUCUUAUAUAAAGUUUAAUCAGUCUAAGCUACGAUGCGAUAAUUACAACUCCAUUAAAGAAGCUGCUAACUCUGGAACUAAAGAUUUGGCUGAAGAAGGAAAUCAGAUUCUUAUUCCAGCAUCGUUCACUGGUGGACCUAGAUAUAUGAUCCAAAGCUAUUACGAUGCUAUGGCUAUCUGUAAGCGUUAUGGUUUCCCCGAUCUUUUCAUUACCUUUACAUGUAAUCCUAAGUGGCCUGAGAUUACAAGAUAUUGUGAAGCAAGAGGGGUAACUGCUGAUGAUAGACCCGACAUCGUGGCAAGGAUAUUUAAAAUCAAAUUGGAUUCUCUGAUGAAAGACUUAACAAAAAGGAAAAUGCUUGGAAAGACAGCUGCAUGUAAGUUUUUAAUUCUACAGUGUCAGUUUCAAUUAAAAGAAUACAAAAAAUUAUAUUUGUUGUCCCUAACUAUUGAUUUUUUUCCACUUCCAGCUAUGUAUACUGUUGAAUUCCAGAAAACAGGAUUGCCUCAUGCUCACAUCCUCUUAUUUAUGGAUGUUAAUAGUAAACUUCCAACAGCUGACGACAUUGACAAGAUCAUUUCUGUAGAAAUUCCAGACAAAGAGAAAGAACCAGAGCUAUAUGAAGUUAUCAAAAACUCUAUGAUUCAUGGACCAUGUGGCUCAGCAAAUCCAAAUUCUCCGUUUAUGGUUGAUAGCCAGUGUUCUAAGCUAUACCCUAAAAAACAUCAAGAGAUCACUAAGGUUGGUAGUGAUGGUUAUCCUGUCUAUAGAAGGAGGGUCACAGAAGAUUAUAUUGAGAAAGGUGAUGUUAAAUGUGAUAAUAUGUAUGUUGUGCCUUAUAAUAAGAAGCUCUCGCUUCGAUAUAUUGCUCAUACCAACAUGGAAUGGUGCAAUCAGAAUGGUUCUAUCAAAUACUUAUUUAAGUAUAUAAACAAAGGCCCAGAUCGUGUUACAGUUAUCGUUGAGCCUUUGACUCAGGCAUCAACAGGGGAAACAGCAACUGGUGCUACAACAACUGGUGAUACAGCAAAUGCAGCUCAAGAUCCAAAUUCAAAUGAGAAAAAGAAGGAUGAAAUAAAAGAUUGGUUUGACUGCAGGUAUGUUAUCACCUUAACCAAAUGUAAAUUAGUAAGUUUUUAUCCUGUUACAAUUUUAUUUAUUCAGUUUUUUUAUGUCUAUAGAUAUGUAUCAGCUUCAGAGGCUGUUUGGAGAAUUUUCAAAUUUCCUAUUCAACACAGAUCAACCCCAGUCUUAAAAUUAUCUUUUCAUGUGGAAGAAAAGCAACCAGUAUAUUUCGAUCCAAAGGGAAAAAUAGCAGAUGUUCUUGAACGUAUAUCCAAUGAGGAUUCUCAGUUUAUGGCUUGGUUGACAUUGAAUAGAAAAAAUGAAGUUGGAAAGAAUGGAAAGUGUGCACGAGACUGUCUAUAUGCGGAAAUACCAGCCUAUUUUACUUGGGACGGAAAGAAUAAGGAGUUUAAGAAGAGAUCUAGAGGCUGGUCUUUGGGUCGUAUUAAUUAUGUCCCUAGGAAAAUGGAAGAUGAAUACUAUCUUCGAGUCCUCCUAAACAUAGUCAGAGGUCCACAGAGUUAUGAUGACAUAAAAACAUAUAAAGGUGUGGUUUAUCCAUCUUACAAAGAAGCAUGUUUUGCACGUGGCAUAUUAGAUGAUGAUCAGGUCUACAUUGAUGGUCUGAUUGAAUUAGGUCAGCAUAGUUUUGCUCCUGUUUUGAGGAAUUUUUUCUCAAUGAUGCUUCUUUCUAUGUCUCUAGCAAGACUAGAACAUGUUUGGUUAGAAACAUGGCAUCUAUUAUCUGAAGAUAUUUUGGCUAAGAAGAAAGAAGAGUACAAAAAUCCACGUUGAUGAUCCAUUUCUUUACUAUUUAAAUAAUGUUUUCAGUCCAAUUCAGAAAUCGCCUGUUUUAACUUCCACAAUACUAUUUGCAGACCUUACACUCACAGAAGCUCAAAUAAAGAACUACACCCUUCAGGAGAUAGAGAAAAUUAUGUUGUUCAAUGGAGGAACUCUAGAAGAUUUUGAUCAUUUCCCUAAGCCUACAAGAGAGGGGAUUGAUAAUUCAAACCGUCUUAUUGUCGAUGAGUUGAGAUAUAACAUCGAAUCUAACUUGGAAGAACAGCAUGUAGAGUGGAGAGACAAGCUAACUCCUGAACAGAGAGGUGUAUACAAUGAGAUAAUCGGGGCAGUUUUCAAUGGUUUAGGUGGAGUUUUCUUUGUUUACGGCUCUGGAGGAACAGGGAAAACAUUUAUUUGGAAGACACUCUCUGCAGCUAUUAGAUUUAGAGGUCUAAUAUGUCUUAAUUUCGCCUCCAGUGGCAUUGCUUCUUUGUUGUUGGAAGGAGGAAGAACCGCACAGUCAAGGUUUUCUAUUCCAUUGAAUCCUGAUGAGUUUUCUAUUUGCAAGAUCAAAGCUAAAUCAGAUUUAGCGGAUUUGAUUAAAGAAGCAUCUCUCAUAAUCUGGGAUGAAGCGCCAAUGAUGAGCAAGUUUUGUUUCGAAGCUUUAGAUAAAAGCUUCUGCGAUAUUAUCAAACACGCAGAGAACAAGGUAUUUGGUGGAAAGGUAGUUGUAUUUGGAGGUGAUUUUAGACAAGUACUUCCUGUUAUUACUGGUGCUGGUAGAGCAGAAAUUGUUAUGUCAUCUCUAAAUGCUUCAUACCUUUGGGAUCACUGCAAAGUUUUAAAGUUGACCAAGAACAUGCGACUACUAAACAACAGUUUAAGUGCUCAGGAAGCUAAAGAAAUCUAAGAAUUCUCAGAUUGGUUGUUGGUGAUGGUAGGAUCAAUGAGCCUAAUGAUGGUGAAGUGGUGAUAGAUAUUCCUAAAGAUUUGUUGAUUACAGAAGCAGACAAUCCAAUAGAAGCAAUUACUAGGGAAAUUUAUGGAGAUCCAACUAAGCUUCAUGAAAUCCGUGAUCCUAAAUUCUUUCAAGCGAGAGCUAUUAUAGCACCAAAAAUGAUGAUGUCAACACUAUCAAUCAGUAUAUGCUUGAGCAUCUGGAUAGUGAGUAUACUUUAACUCUUUACUGUUUAUUUGGUUAUUAUAUAAUCAUUGCUAAGUUGCUACUAUAAACAACUAAUCAUAUCCCUUUUAUUUUCUACAGGUCCAGAAAGAAUUUAUCUAUCUGCUGAUAGUAUAGAUCCUUCAGAUUCUGAUGCUCUUAGCAAUCCUGUUAUUACUCCAGAUUUCUUAAACAAUAUCAAGGUUUCAGGUUUUCCUAAUCAUGCUUUGCGUUUAAAGAUUGGUGCUCCUGUUAUGUUGCUUAGGAAUUUAGAUCCUAAAGGAGGCCUUUGCAACGGCACUAGACUUCAGGUUACGCAGCUAUGUAAUCAGAUUUUGGAAGCAAGAGUUAUAACAGGAGACAGAAUUGGUGAUUUCGUUUUUGUUCCUCUCAUAAACAUUACUCCUUCAGACACAAAACUGCCAUUCAAGAUGUGUAGAAGAUAGUUUCCACUAUCUGUUGCAUUUGCUAUGACUAUCAAUAAGAGUCAGGGACAAUCUCUUGAACGAGUUGGACUUUACUUGCCUAAACCAGUCUUCUCUCAUGGCCAACUAUAUGUUGCGUUGUCUAGAGUGACUUCUAAAAAAGGUUUGAGAAUACUAAUACUCAACAAACAAGGGAAGAUUGAGAAGAAAACAACAAAUGUUGUUUUCAAGGAAGUGUUCCGAAACAUUGACUGACGCAUCAGUACUUAGACUUUCCCUACAGUGAAAGCCUUGAAGGAGGUAAGUUUAGUUACCAUUUCCUUUUUAAGAUUUCAGUUAUGGUCUGAAAAACCACCACACAUCAUUUUAAUGCAUCAGUCUUUGUUUUCCUAUUGUAGGAACAUGAUUUCAAAGUGAAUUGUGCUGGAGUUAGGCUCAGUAAACUAGCAUAUUUCAAAGUGAAUUUAAGAUCAAUAGUUGAACAAACUUUUUAUGCUUCUCUUAGAAUUUCAGAAAACACUAUAAUCUAUUUGUUUACCUGAGUUAUAGUAGAUUGAUUCCUUUCUAUAAACUACUACCAAUUCUACCUAUUAUUCACCAUCAAUUACUACAUUUUUAACAUACCUUAACAAACAACUGUAGUGUCAAUCAUCGAGUUGAACAAUCACUAACCUUUAGAAUGAUCCGAUUAUGAAAUGAACAAUCGAUUGAUUUGUCUUCUGUACUCCAUUGCUUGAUUACGCACUCGGUUGAUAGCACCAACCUUUACAUGCAUCUACUGAAUUAGCCAGAUUAGAUUCAAUUGCACCAUGGAGAUUGUUGUCACCGGAGGUUUUGAUUUGCUACAAUCCCAUCCGAAUUUGAGAGAACUUAUUUGCAAUCCAAAACAUUAAUCGACAUCUUGGGAAGCUUAAUUCAGAGCUUGAAGAUUGCAGAGGAUCGUGAAUUGAAGAUCUGAGAUAGUCGGAAUUGAAAAUUCCGUUAAGGCACCAACCGGUUU